UUUCAACAUAUGAAUUUUGGGAGGGACUCAUUUAGUCCAUUGCAACCCCUGUGAGUUCACUUCUAGCUUAAGCCUUUUUGGGUUAGGUUGUCUGUUACUUAUUGCUUGAGGGAAUCUGUCUACUGGAAAGAGGGACUGCUACUAUUAACUUCCUUACCUAAUUCUCUUACUAGGACUGGACAGAAUCAGGACUACCAGUAUCAUUUUGCAAAAUUCACUUGCAAUCAUCGGUGACAGGAAGUCGGGUGGGAUUCUGAAGAAGAGCCAUGGCACCUCCCUGGUUCCAAUGUGUGGACAACCUGUACCAAAUGGCUUCUAGCAUCAUCACUCCUCUAUCUUCUGAGAUACAAUCACGUCUAAUCAAAGGCCAUAUUCUAAAGAUUGCUUUCAGGUGUUUUUUUUUUCCCCUAAACCUUUUAGUUAAACAGGCAAAACUCAACUUCUAUAAAACGGAUUGGAGUCAGUUCCCUUUUCUCUUACUUGGUACAAGCACUGAGAAGAGGACUGGAACAGAUGACAAGCAGCCUGCAAGAGAAAGAGGAGAGGCUGUGGGGCCUGCACCAGCUCAGAACAGGUCCUGGCAAUGUUCUCCAUUUUUCUAGCCUAGUCACUCUUUCCCUUCCGCAAUGUUCUCUAAACAGCUUCAACUGAUGACUUCAAAAUGAAGGUAAAUGUGUGGGGUGAGCCACAUGGAAAGCUGAAAUAAUUGGGAGCAUCCUGCGUCUCCUCCUGCUGCCGCCAAAUGCCUGUGUCGUUUGACUCCAUUCAAGCACAGAAUUGAGAUCUCUGAAAUACAUGCUGGCAUCAUUUGGGCUGAAUCUCUUGGAUUUGGAUAAUUUCUCAUAAUAACUCCAUUAUUCCCCUAAAGCAAGAAUAAGUGAGAUUUUUCAGUCACGGCUAUGAUAACUUUGAUUGCUGUUUAGUUCUGAAAAAUCAAAAAGCUUGGAAAGUCUGGUAUCCCUCUUCCAUUAAUGUGAAUACACCAAGGUCAUUGAAAGCCAACCACAGCAUGCCUACAUCUAUUCCUUGGUACCACUGAGCUGAUUUUGAUUUGUUUUCAUCAGUCUGUGAGACCAUUACUAUCCUGCUGUAUAAUUGAAUCGUUCUAUAUUAGCAUCAAGUUUUCUCAAAAUGCAUUUACCAACAGGGAGUGGGACAUUCAGUAGCAACAAUUAUCUGGGUAUAUUUCUCCCUAGCAACUUUUCUUAUGGAAUGUUCGACUUAUGUUGGAGAGUACAGUCUUUUAUUGAUAGCUUUUUAAUAAAUCCUGCUUUUCAAUUCCCUCUGAUCUCUCUAUCAUAGAUACCAAAAAUAAAAACCCAAUUUUUGGAAUGGAUGAGUUAGCAUAUGGCAGAUUUUCUGUGUAUGAUUGUCUCAAAUCUUUGAUCUCUGUAGUCCUUUCAUUUGGGGUUUUUAUAUAAAAUUGCCAUUGACCUUGCAAGUACCAGCUGUCCUCUUGAAAUAUGAGGCCGGUAAUGAUGAUACACAGUAUUGAUAAUAACAAAUGGUAGUUCAUAUUUCAGCUGAGUUGGACUUUUAUGCUCUGCUAUUAAACCCAAAGUAUUCAGUAUGAAUAGAAAAUAUUAAAAUGUAAUUCAACUGGAUGAUAUCUUCUUUUUGCUACUGAGCAGGACAUCUGGAAUUGAAACCUACAUUGAGUCUGCUCACAAAUCAGGUCAGAUCUGGCACUGGGGUUAGGUGACUCUCAAAUAGAAGAUCUGAAGUUCUUAUUUGGGGAGAUUGGAUUUUUAUCUAAGAUAGAGACCCUUUUAACAUGACUCUCAGCUCCAUCAUAGAUUGCAGGACAAAUUUACAAAACACUGGACUCUUUCACAGUUUAGAAUAAAAUUAAGCCAAAGCAGGGCCUUAGGAAUAGCAAACUAGCAAAUAAACAAAAUAAAAGAAAUUUGGAUUCAAAUUAAAUUAUUUUGACUAGAAAAGAGAAUGUUUCUCUACCCUGUCUUGAAAUGCUGAUCUCUGGUAAAGUUUUGCCUUUUUAAGCACAUCCUUAUAUGGAUCUUUCUUCCAGUCAUGAAGAGAUGUUCAUACUGCCUUGAUUAAAAAAAAAAAAUUUAUGGCAUGGAUAUAAAGAAAAAGGAUUUACAAAUGCUUAAUUUUUCUUUUUUUAACUAAAAAAAAGACCUUUGAUAUGUGAAAUUUAAUUUAAAUAAAUUAUACAAUGAAAUUAUUUACAAAACAGAAACAGACUUACAGAUAUCGAAAACAAACUUAUGCUUAGCAAAAGGGAACUGUGGGAAGGAGGGCUAUGCGCUUGGAAUUAACAUACACACACUAUUAUGUAUAAGACAGAUAACCAAUGGGAAAGACUUAGAAUAGGAGGAGAAAGGGACAACAGAGCAUAAGAUGGUUGGAUGGCAUCACCGACUCGAUGGACAUGAGUUUGAACAGCUCCAGAAGCUGGUGAUGGACAAGGAAGCCUGGCGUGCUGCAAUCUAUAGGAUCGCAGAGUCAGACACAACUGAGUGACUGAACUGAAUUGAACCAACAAGGACUUACUGUACAGCACAGAGAACUCUGCUCAAUAUUCUGUAAUAACCUAUAUGAGAAAAGAAUCUGAAAAAGAAUGAAUAUAUGUAUAACUCAAUCAUUUUGCUGUACACCUGAAAUGAGCACAAUGUUAGAAGUCAACUGUACUCCAAAAAAAAAAAAAAAAAAAAAUAGACCUUUGAGUAAGAGAAGUUCCUAAGGACUUAGCAUUUAACUGUUAACCAUUGUGAUGGAACUGGGAUAUGCCUUGGAUCUCCCUCCAAGGCAGGACUUGUGGCUCCUGCAGCUGGAAGUGCUUUGAGUCGAGAGCCUUCAGCUGUCAGCUCCUUCAGGAACUGCCCAGCGGCGGAGAACUACUUUAUUCAAGGUCACAACCUUUGUGAGACAGUCUACCUCGAAGGGUGCAUAAAGGCAGGAGUACAGUGAUCUGGUCCUUUUGUCUCAAUGCAGGACCCCUUUGACCAGCCAUUUUAAAUCCAGAGUUUCCCCACGGCACAAGGCAAGGCUGUCAGGUUACAAAGAAGCUUGUCUUCACUUUUGAGUCAAACCCCACCUCUCUCCCUCCUUGUCACAAGUAUGGAACCCAAAGGGAGACACCUAAUAAACAUCCUGCACACAGUGUCAGUUUCAGUAUCCAACCUGCAACAACGAUAAAACAGAAAACAGAGAGGAGUGAGAGGCAGAUGAUACUGUCUCUGAACAUUUCUGAUGAGAGUUUCCUGGACAGGGAAAGAGAGGAAAGCAUGAUGUGUGCUUGGGUGUGUGGGAGUGGGAGGAGUAAUGGUCUUAAACAACCGCAGAGGAGGUAAAAUUACCAAGACUCUGAACUAGAUGACCAGAUGGGAAAGAGAGAUUAAGUUCUGCUAUCAAUCGAGCAUGUGUAGGGUGGAAGUGGGGGUCUCCCACAUGACACCAAGCAAUUUUCACACACCAGCUGAGUGUCUCAGAACUCAUUUCAGUUCUAACAUCAUCUGCUGCGAGAGAACAUCGGAUUCCACAGGUCAAGUGUUCAGUCUUACAAGACUGGCCCUCACCACCGCCCCCCCCCCCAUGCCAGUUGUUAUCUGUGCUUCUGACCUAUCCUUCACAGCAUUUGCUACCAAAUAAAUAUUUGAUAAUUCCUCAGAGAAGUCUAGUCACUUAAUGAAAUAUACCUGCAGUCUUCUUUUAGCAGCCUGCUGGUUGUUUCCAUUCAACUCAACAAGCAAUUAUUUGUACCUGUGAUGUAAAGGUGCUAUGAACAGAAAAAAAGACAUGGGAGAUUUGAUCCUCUGCCAAGAGACCUGCAGUCAGCUGUAAAAAGAAAAGGCAUAAACACAUGGGAUGGGCAGUGAAUGAUCUAAGAAGGCUAUCAUUAAAUAGUACAGGGCUCUAGGACUUCCGAUAAAGGAGAGACCAAUAAAAAUUGGAUCCAGGAGGGAAGACUGAGGUGAAGAGACUCGAUCAGUGCCAGAGACAGAUAAGGGAGAAGAGGUACCUGAAUACUCCAGAAGAUAAAACAUUGAUGAGACCUGUGUGGUUUGAGCACAGAAUUUGCCCUUUCUGCCAAGAUGAAAAAUCUUUAUUGGGAAUUCUAACUCUUCACUACACAGGACAUCAGAUAACUUAAAACAACAAUUGAUGUAUUAAUUAUUGAUCUUUCAAAACUAUAUAGUACACAGUGCCCCCCCCAAUUUAAGAAAAAGUAUAUAAAUCCAGAUUAACUUUUUGUGUUAGAAUAAUCACUGAUAUUCAAAUUAGUGAAGAUAUUGAAAUAAAAUUGUUAAAAGUUGUUUGUUUGUUUUUUCUGGGAUUUUAUAAGGGGUUGAAAAGAUCUAGAAUCAUAGGUACUUAGUAGCUCCCUUUUUUGGGCCUCCACAACACUUUGUACUUAAAUCUUUUUCACACUAUGUAUUAUAAAAUAGAAGCUUAAAAAAAACAACUGACUUCCAUUUAACCAGGUUAAAUGGUACAUGAUGCUCUCUAUUCUGUCUGUGAAACGUGCUGACUGAUGCUUAUGACACUUACUGCUUACAAGAUUCUACUCUUCAAUUUGCCUUCACAAUAUUCACAUCAGUUGAGCUAUUUGCUUACCAAAAAUCAGUUGGGUUAAUUCCCAAAGCCCCUUAAUCUGUGAAAAUUAAUAAAAGGAAACUUCACUAAAAUGGAGUUGGGAGGCUAGAAGGGGGAUCACUCAACAUUAAUACAGAUCCCAACAGGAGGAGACAUACUUGGCACGUUCUGGAGGACCAAGCUGGAGGAAGAAAAAAAAUUUCUCCUCACCUGGCAACAGCUCAGCCAAUGAGACACUACCGCAACUCAGCCAAUGAAAAGCCAUUAUACUUCAAACUUCCAGUUUCCUGCAAUGGACGUUUUAUUUAUCAUAGCCCCUCGCAACUUAUUCUUCUCCUUUAUAAAAAAUUCUCUUCUCUUUAGUAGUUUUGCCUAGACUUGCUUGUGGUUCACCAUAGUUGUAUGUCUCUAGUUACAAUUCUAAAACUACUAUUUUUUAAUAAACCUGUUUCGCU
rnacentral:lncRNA from 1 species